UGGGGAAUAUUGGACAAUGGGGGAAACCCUGAUCCAGCCAUGCCGCGUGGAUGAUGAAGGCCCUAGGGUUGUAAAGUCCUUUCGACGGGGAAGAUAAUGACGGUACCCGUAGAAGAAGCCCCGGCUAACUUCGUGCCAGCAGCCGCGGUAAUACGAAGGGGGCUAGCGUUGCUCGGAAUCACUGGGCGUAAAGCGCACGUAGGCGGACUCUUAAGUCGGGGGUGAAAUCCUGGAGCUCAACUCCAGAACUGCCUUCGAUACUGAGAGUCUUUGAGUCCGGGAGAGGUGAGUGGAACUGCGAGUGUAGAGGUGAAAUUCGUAGAUAUUCGCAAGAACACCAGUGGCGAAGGCGGCUCACUGGCCCGGUACUGACGCUGAGGUGCGAAAGCGUGGGGAGCAAACA
rnacentral:rRNA from 1 species